AGAUGGCGACCGGCGCACGGGUGAGUAACACGUAUCCAACCUGCCGAUAACUCGGGGAUAGCCUUUCGAAAGAAAGAUUAAUACCCGAUGGUAUAAUCAGACCGCAUGGUCUGAUUAUUAAAGAAUUUCGGUUAUCGAUGGGGAUGCGUUCCAUUAGGCAGUUGGUGAGGUAACGGCUCACCAAACCUUCGAUGGAUAGGGGUUCUGAGAGGAAGGUCCCCCACAUUGGAACUGAGACACGGUCCAAACUCCUACGGGAGGCAGCAGUGAGGAAUAUUGGUCAAUGGGCGCAGGCCUGAACCAGCCAAGUAGCGUGAAGGAUGACUGCCCUAUGGGUUGUAAACUUCUUUUAUAUGGGAAUAAAGUUUUCCACGUGUGGAAUUUUGUAUGUACCAUAUGAAUAAGGAUCGGCUAACUCCGUGCCAGCAGCCGCGGUAAUACGGAGGAUCCGAGCGUUAUCCGGAUUUAUUGGGUUUAAAGGGAGCGUAGGUGGACAGUUAAGUCAGUUGUGAAAGUUUGCGGCUCAACCGUAAAAUUGCA
rnacentral:rRNA from 1 species